ensembl:lncRNA
AUUCUGAUCUAUAAAGAUGAUGAUAUAUACUGUAACUCCAGUGCCUUAUAUAAAGUCUAAUACCCCUUGAACAUUUAGAUUUUUAUGUCAGUGCCUUAGAGCUGAAUUUAUUUUUAUUUUUAUUUUUUUCAAAUUCAGCAGUUUUUACUGGGAAUUUCUAUUAAUAUUGAGAAGUAAAAUUAUACAGUAUAAAAUACAAAACUGAAAUAUAAAUAACCGGAAAAGUCUCCAGACCUGACUUUAAUGCUGGAAAUAGGAAUAGGUCUAGCAAAUUUACAAACAUAAAUUUGGCAUUUUCAACACUUCUUUUUUAUUCUUUAGUCACUCCACUUUAGCUUUAGUUGUUGUCAUGAUAAAAGGUGAACUUCCUUUGCAAUUCACCACCCAACAGAGAGAACCGACAGAAACACAAUAAUUUAUCCUGAAAUCAUCAAACACUACACCUUAACACGUGAAUGCCAAUUGAACAUUAUUGUAUUUAAUUAAAAGUAACCCUGUGGUUACAGAAUGGUCUGUAGAUUAGUGAAAAACAUGCCAAUUUAAAUGCAUGAAACGGAGGCACUGACAUGACAAUAACAGUUGAAGGGCUGUAGACUGUCUGUUGGCACAGCACAUGCUUGAAAUUCAGAUCCAUAUGGUGAUGUCAUAUUAAUCCAUAUGUUCAGAUCCAUAUGGUGAUGUCAUAUUAAUCCAUAUAUUCAGAUCCAUAAGGUGACGUCAUAUUAAUCCAUAUAUUCAGAUCCAUAGGGUGAUGUCAUAUUAAUCCAUAUAUUCAGAAACAUAAGGUGACGUCAUAUUAAUCCAUAUGUUCAGAUACGUAUGGUGAUGUCAUAUUAAUCCAUAUAUUCAGAUCCAUAAGGUGAUGUCAUGUUAAUCCAUAUGUUGAAAUCCAUAUGGUGAUGUCAUAUUAAUCCAUAUGUUCAGAUCCAUAAGGUGACGUCAUAUUAAUCCAUAUGUUCAGAUCCAUAUGGUGACGUCAUAUUAAUCCAUAUGUUCAGAUCCAUAUGGUGAUGUCAUAUUAAUCCAUAUGUUCAGAUCCAUAUGGUGAUGUCAUAUUAAUCCAUAUAUUCAGAUCCAUAUGGUGAUGUCAUAUUAAUCCAUAUGUUGAAAUCCAUAUGGUGAUGUCAUAUUAAUCCAUAUAUUCAGAUCCAUAUGGUGAUGUCAUAUUAAUCCAUAUGUUGAAAUCCGUAUGGUGAUGUCAUAUUAAUCCAUAUGUUCAGAUCCGUAUGGUGAUGUCAUAUUAAUCCAUAUGUUCAGAUCCGUAUGGUGAUGUCAUAUUAAUCCAUAUGUUCAGAUCCGUAUGGUGAUGUCAUAUUAAUCCAUAUGUUCAGAUCCGUAUGGUGAUGUCAUUUACGUAAAUCCUUAAAUUCUGAUCCAUAACAUGUCAUAUAGUCUCCUACACUCCUUCUGUGAUCCUUAUGUUGAUAAUAAUGAAAUUAAACAAAUAAUA